CUCGCAUGUCAUGUAUUUUUUUUGUAGUUGUAAUCCCAGUAGUAUUUACUUGCGCAUUUAGGAAUAUCAUAGUUAAAGCUAAAGAGGAAUUGUCCUAGCAUAAUUUACAUUUCAGAAUGUUACAGUAGUAAUGUAAAUACAGAUGGUUGAGACGGAAGGAAGGAGUUGAUGCUGCUGCUCCAGACCGAAUCAAAUCAAGGUGGUGCAUUGUAGACCCUGCAAUCUAUCCAUCCAUUCAAUCCAUAUACAAUCAGGUAUUUGCACAGAAGGUGCAAACAGUCCACUGUAGACACUGUAGUAGAGAAUAGAUAGAGCUUCACCUGCAGAGCAGAGAAUCCAAUGGAAUCCAACAGAGAGGAGAAGAAAAGAAGGAAGACCUGCAGAUGGUGG
rnacentral:lncRNA from 1 species